rnacentral:rRNA from 1 species
CCUACGGGGGCAGCAGUGGGGAAUAUUGGACAAUGGGGGGAACCCUGAUCCAGCCAUGCCGCGUGUGUGAAGAAGGCCCUCGGGUUGUAAAGCACUUUCAGUGAGGAAGAACGCCUGGUGGUUAAUACCCAUCAGGAAAGACAUCACUCACAGAAGAAGCACCGGCUAACUCCGUGCCAGCAGCCGCGGUAAUACGGAGGGUGCGAGCGUUAAUCGGAAUUACUGGGCGUAAAGCGCGCGUAGGUGGCUUGAUAAGCCGGUUGUGAAAGCCCCGGGCUCAACCUGGGAACGGCAUCCGGAACUGUCAAGCUAGAGUGCAGGAGAGGAAGGUAGAAUUCCCGGUGUAGCGGUGAAAUGCGUAGAGAUUGGGAGGAAUACCAGUGGCGAAGGCGGCCUUCUGGACUGACACUGACACUGAGGUGCGAAAGCGUGGGUAGCAAACAGGAUUAGAUACCCUGGUAGUC